rnacentral:rRNA from 1 species
GGCUCAGAACGAACGCUGGCGGCGUGCUUAACACAUGCAAGUCGAACGAACCUUCGGGUUAGUGGCGGACGGGUGAGUAACGCGUGAGAAUCUGCCCUCAGGAGGGGGAUAACGGUUGGAAACGACCGCUAAUACCCCAUAUGCCGAGGGGUGAAAAGAAAUUCGCCUGAGGAUGAGCUCGCGUCUGAUUAGCUAGUUGGUGUGGUAAUGGCGCACCAAGGCUUCGAUCAGUAGCUGGUCUGAGAGGAUGAUCAGCCACACUGGGACUGAGACACGGCCCAGACUCCUACGGGAGGCAGCAG